CCCUUAGAUGUUCUGGGCAGCACGCGCGCUACAAUGGUCUUCGCAAACGGAUGCAUUCUCGAAGGAGAAUGCCAAUCUUGGAAUCUAUGCCUUGGUCGGGACAGUUGCUUGCAAUUUUUCGACUCGAACCAGGAAUUCCUUGUAAUCGUGAUUCAUCACAUCACGAUGAAUACGUCCCUGCCCUUUGUACACACCGCCCGUCGCACCUACCGAUUGGAUGGUCCGGUGAAAUCUUCGGAUUGAGACUUUGAUUUCUUCACGGAAAACGCUGUUUUAAAAAGUUGAUUAAACCUUACCAUUUAGAGGAAGGUGAAGUCGUAACA
rnacentral:rRNA from 1 species